UACGAAGGGGGCGAGCGUUGUUCGGAAUCACUGGGCGUAAAGCGUGCGUAGGCGGCGAUGACAGUUAGGAGUGAAAGCCCAGGGCUCAACCUUGGAAUUGCUCUUAAUACUACAUCGCUCGAAUCUCGGAGAGGAUAGCGGAAUUGUCAGUGUAGCAGUGAAAUGCGUAGAUAUUGACAGGAGCACCAGUGGCGUAAGCGGCUAUCUGGACGAGUAUUGACGCUGAGGCACGAAAGCGUGGGGAUCAAACAGG
rnacentral:rRNA from 1 species